CUCUUAGUUAGCCGUCGGCAAGCAGGAGAAUUGUGGGUAGUUGUAGAUUGGCACAUUCUGAAUUUCCUUCUUAAAGUUAAAAAGAGAGGAAGAAG